rnacentral:rRNA from 1 species
GACGAACGCUGGCGGCGUGCUUAACACAUGCAAGUCGAACGAUGAAGCCGGAGCUUGCUCCGGUGGAUUAGUGGCGAACGGGUGAGUAACACGUGAGCAAUCUGCCCUUGACUCUGGGAUAACUGCGGGAAACUGUAGCUAAUACCGGAUACGACACCUUGGGGCAUCCCAGGGUGUGGAAAGAAUUUCGGUCAAGGAUGAGCUCGCGGCCUAUCAGCUAGUUGGUGAGGUAAUGGCUCACCAAGGCGACGACGGGUAGCCGGCCUGAGAGGGGGACCGGCCAGACGGGACUUGGGAACCGGCCAGCAUGCAUACGGGGGGAGGCAGUGGGGAAUAUGGCACAGUGGGCGAAGGCCUGAUGCGGCAACGCCGGGUGAGGAAUGAAGGCCUUCGGGUUGUAAACCUCUUUUAGCAGGGAAGAAGCGAAAGUGACGGUACCUGCAGAAAAGGCACCGGCAAACUACGUGCCACCCGCCGCGGUAA